UUCCCCAUGUGAGAGUAGGUCAUCGUCAAGA
rnacentral:rRNA from 1 species